rnacentral:rRNA from 1 species
CUACGGGCUGCACCAGUAGGGAAUUUUCGGCAAUGGACGAAAGUCUGACCGAGCAAUGCCGCGUGAAUGAAGACGGUCUUCGGAUUGUAAAGUUCUGUUAAUGGGAAAGAACACUUAGUAUAGGAAAUGAUACUAAGAUGACGGUACCCAUUUAGAAAGCCCCGGCUAACUACGUGCCAGCAGCCGCGGUAAUACGUAGGGGGCAAGCGUUAUCCGGAAUUAUUGGGCGUAAAGAGUGCGUAGGCGGUUUAUUAAGUCAGUCGUAAAAGAUCUCAGCCUAACUGAGUAGGGCGAUUGAAACUGGUAGACUUGAGUAUGGUAGAGGUAAGUGGAAUUCCAAGUGUAGCGGUGGAAUGCGUAGAUAUUUGGAGGAACACCAAUGGCGAAGGCAGCUUACUGGGCCAGAACUGACGCUGAGGCACGAAAGCGUGGGGAGCAAACAGGAUUAGAUACCCCAGUAGUC